UUUGGAAAGAGUUCCAGCUUCAUCACGGAGUUUCUCUCGGUUUGUGGGCUCAUCUAAAGCUGAUCAUCAGGAGGAGACGAGCCAUUUAGACUCAGCUCAGCCACUACAGAGGAAACAAUGACUUCAACCCAAAAGGUGAGCAAAAAUAUCACUGUUAUUGAAACUUUGUGCACAUUACAACUCUCAUUGUAGCUCCAUUGUUGUGGUAACACACCUACAAUGAGUUUGUUGA